rnacentral:tRNA from 1 species
GCCCGCCUGGCGGAACGGUAGACGCAGCGGACUUAAAAUCCGCAGCCCGUUGGGGCGUGGGGGUUCGAGUCCCCCGGCGGGCACCA